rnacentral:misc_RNA from 1 species
GCAAUUCCAUAGCAAAAUAAAUAAAUAAAAAAAAUUAUCAUCAAUAUUCAAUGAAUAUUUCAACAAAUUAACAUCAAAUUUCAAUAAUUUUCAACCAAAAAAGAAUCCCAAAAUCAAACCUUACAACCCACUAAACUGAAACCACAAGCUAAAAAAUUACCAAGAAUUGAAGAAUUGAAAAAUCCAACACAAACUACCAAGAAGGCCAUCUCUUUUUUUUUAUCGCUGUCGAGAUUCAGAAUCUGCCGAUGCAUGCAAUCGGUUGUCAAUGGGAGCGCCGAGAGAGGGAUGGUUCGAUGGUUUUGAUCACUGCCGAGAAUCAGUAUGAGCGAGAUUGAUUGCUAGACGAGCUGAAGACAAAUUUGGUAGUUGAUGUGUGCGUGGAUUUAGAACUGAGAGUGAGGACCGACGAGCGCUAAUGGACGAAACAGAUUUACAGCAUUAGAGAAAACAAGAGACAAAAUUGAAAAAUGAGAGAAAACAGAGCACAAAAAACAAACGAGGGAGGGAGAAGUAAGGUAACU